GACGAACGCUGGCGGCGUGCCUAAUACAUGCAAGUCGAACGCAGUGGGGACGGGUGAGUAACACGUGGGUAACCUCCCAUCAGAGGGGAUAACACUUGGAAACAGGUGCUAAACCGAUACUGAUGGAUGAACCCGCGGUGCAUUAGCUAGUUGGUGAGGUAACGGCUUAACAAGGCCACGAUGCAUAGCCGACCUGAGCGGGGGAGCGGCCACUCGGGGACUGAGACAGGGCCCAGACUCCUCCGGGAGGCAGCAGUAGGGAAUCUUCGGCAAUGGACGAAAGUCUGACCGAGCAACGCCGCGUGAUGGAAGAAGGUUUUCGGAUCGUAAAACUCUGUUGUUAGAGAAGCGGUAUCUAACCAGAAAGCCACGGCUAACUACGUGCCAGCAGCCGCGGUAAUUC
rnacentral:rRNA from 1 species